GACGGAGGAUGCAAGUGUUAUCCGGAAUCACUGGGCGUAAAGCGUCUGUAGGUGGUCAAAUAAGUCAACUGUUAAAUCUUGAGGCUCAACCUCAAAAUCGCAGUCGAAACUAUUAGACUAGAGUAUAGUAGGGGUAAAGGGAAUUUCCAGUGGAGCGGUGAAAUGCGUAGAGAUUGGAAAGAACACCGAUGGCGAAGGCACUUUACUGGGCUAUUACUAACACUCAGAGACGAAAGCUAGGGUUGCAAAUGGG
rnacentral:rRNA from 1 species